rnacentral:rRNA from 1 species
GACGAAUGCUGGCUGCGCGCUUAACACAUGCAAGUCGAACGGUGAAGGGGAGCUUGCUCCCCGGAUCAGUGGCGAACGGGUGAGUAACACGUGGGCAACCUGCCCCUCACUCUGGGAUAACUCCGGGAAACCGGGGCUAAUACCGGAUACGACCGGGAGCGACAUCGCUCCCGGUGGAAAGAACUUCGGUGAGGGAUGGGCCCGCGGCCUAUCAGCUAGUUGGUGGGGUAACGGCCCACCAAGGCGACGACGGGUAGCCGGACUGAGAGGGCGACCGGCCACACUGGGACUGAGACACGGCCCAGACUCCUACGGGAGGCAGCAGUGGGGAAUAUUGCGCAAUGGGCGAAAGCCUGACGCAGCGACGCAGCGUGAGGGACGAAGGCCUUCGGGUUGUAAACCUCUUUCAGCGGGGACGAAGCGUAAGUGACGGUACCCGCAGAAGAAGCACCGGCUAACUACGUGCCAGCAGCCGCCGCAG